GACAGAGGUCCCGAGCGUUAGGCGGAAUCACUGGGCUUAAAGCGUGUGUAGGCGGAUUUGUAAGUACCUUGUGAAAUCCCACGGCUUAACCGUGGAACUGCUUGGUAUACUGCUUAUCUUGGGCCAUCGUAGGGCUACUGGAACAAACGGUGGAGCGGUGAAAUGCGUAGAUAUCGUUUGGAACGCCAAUGGUGAAAACAAGUAGCUGGGGAUGUGCCGACGCUGAGACACGAAAGCCAGGGGAGCAAACGGG
rnacentral:rRNA from 1 species